rnacentral:rRNA from 1 species
CAGCAGCCGCGGUAAUACGUAGGUGGCAAGCGUUGUCCGGAAUUAUUGGGCGUAAAGGGCUCGCAGGCGGUUUCUUAAGUCUGAUGUGAAAGCCCCCGGCUCAACCGGGGAGGGUCAUUGGAAACUGGGAAACUUGAGUGCAGAAGAGGAGAGUGGAAUUCCACGUGUGGCGGUGAAAUGCGUAGAGAUGUGGAGGAACACCAGUGGCGAAGGCGACUCUCUGGUCUGUAACUGACGCUGAGGAGCGAAAGCGUGGGGAGCGAACAGGAUUAGAUACCCCAGUAGUCCCUGUCUCUUAUAC